AGUUAACGUAGCAAAGCCCGGUAUUGCUAAAGACCUAAACCCUUUUCACAGAGGUUCAAACCCUCUCGUUAACU
rnacentral:tRNA from 1 species